rnacentral:lncRNA from 1 species
AGAGCUACCGUCCCCUUAUUUGGUUAAACUUCUAAACUCAGUUUCUUUUAAAUAAAUGACUUAGAUAGUAGUUAUGGUUCAGCGAUUUAUUACAUUUGGAUUCACCUGGUUUUAUGAAUGUAAUAAAGGAUUUAUGAUUCUUGCAAAAUAAAAAUAGUUUUCUACCCUUCGUGGUAGCGAGUUUUUAAAAGGAAAUGGUUUUCGUGUGGGAAACAGUUUUAAAAGGAUUUUCUGGUUUUUUCUAGUUAUUAGUAUUUUAAAACGAGUUUCCGGGUAGGAAAUAUUUUAAACUGAUAGAUGUGGAUUUAUGAAUAAAUGUGAUGUAUCGAAUGUGAAUAGUGUAUGAAUAUGUGGAUGUUCAUAUGUGUGGUUGUAUCUUGAUCGUGAAUCUUGUAUCUUGUACUUGUACGACGCCGUGCAAAUACAAGGGAGACUCUGUCUGUAUGAACAGUGGACUUCCUAUAUUUGUAGCGGAUCUGGCAUACUCUGGGGUAAAGAUUUAAAAAAAAAAAAAAGAAGAAAAAAAA